UCCAGGCAUGGGGUGAGCUGGAGAAGGCAGAGCAUGAGCGAGAGGCAGCCCUCAGAGCUGAGCUCAUCCGACAGGAGAAGUUGGAACUCUUGGCUCAAAGAUUUGACCACAAGGUGGCCAUGAGGGAGAGCUGGCUAAAUGAGAACCAGCGCCUGGUCUCUCAGGACAACUUCGGAUAUGAGCUGCCGGCAGUGGAGGCAGCCAUGAAGAAGCACGAAGCCAUCGAGGCUGACAUCGCGGCCUACGAGGAGCGGGUUCAGGGUGUGGCGGAGCUAGCCCAGGC
rnacentral:lncRNA from 1 species